rnacentral:ncRNA from 12 species
GUAUGAGUAAGUCGCAAUGAAAGAAUGAUGUCUCAGGAUGAGAUUAGGACGAGUAAUUACGGUUCAUAC